rnacentral:rRNA from 1 species
UACAUAGGGUGCGAGCGUUACUCGGAUUUAUUGGGCGUAAAGAGCUCGUAGGCGGUUCGAUAAGUCGGGUGUGAAACCCCCAGGCUCAACCUGGGGCAGCCACCCGAAACUAUCGUGACUUGAGUUUGGUAGGGGAUCACGGAAUUCCAGGUGUAGCGGUGGAAUGCGCAGAUAUCUGGAGGAACACCAGUAGCGAAGGCGGUGAUCUGGGCCAACACUGACGCUGAGGAGCGAAAGCGUGGGGAGCGAACAGGAUUAGAUACCCUGGUAGUCCACGCCGUAAACGGUGGGCACUAGGUGUGGGGACUUUUCAACGGUUUCCGCGCCGCAGCUAACGCAUUAAGUGCCCCGCCUGGGGAGUACGGCCGCAAGGCUAAAACUCAAAG